GUGCUCGCCUCGGCAGCAUAUAUAGUAAAAUUGGAAUGAUAAAGAGAUUAGCAUGGCCCCUACAAGGAUGACACGCAAAUUUGUGAAGCAUUCCAUAUUUUA
ensembl:snRNA U6 U6 spliceosomal RNA